CCUACGGGAGGCAGCAGUGAGGAAUAUUGGUCAAUGGGCGCGAGCCUGAACCAGCCAAGUCGCGUGAGGGAUGAAGGUUCUAUGGAUCGUAAACCUCUUUUAUAAGGGAAUAAAGUGUGGGACGUGUCCUAUUUUGUAUGUACCUUAUGAAUAAGGAUCGGAUAACUCCGUGCCAGCAGCGCCGGUAAUACGGAGGAUCCGAGCGUUAUCCGGAUUUUUUGGGUUAAAAGGGUGCGUAGGCGGCCUUUUAAGUCAGCGGGGAACGUCUGUGGGGUAACCAGUGCAUUGCCGUUGAAAAUGGGGGGCUUGAGUAUGUUUGAGGCAGGCGGAAUGCGUGGUGUAGCGGUGAAAUGCUUAGAUAUCACGCAGAACCCCGAUUGCGAAGGCAGCCUGCCAAGCCAUGACUGACGCUGAUGCACGAAAGCGUGGGGAUCAAACAGGAUUAGAUACCCCAGUAGUC
rnacentral:rRNA from 1 species